rnacentral:rRNA from 1 species
UACGGAGGGUGCGAGCGUUGUCCGGAAUCAUUGGGCGUAAAGGGCGCGUAGGUGGCCCGGUCAGUUCGUGGUGAAAGCGCGGGGCUCAACCCUGCGUCGGCCAUGAAUACUGCCGCGGCUGGAGCACUGUAGAGGCAGGCGGAAUUCCGGGUGUAGCGGUGGAAUGCGCAGAUAUCAGGAGGAACACCGGUGGCGAAGGCGGGUCUCUGGGCCGAUAUUGACGCUGAGGAGCGAAAGCGUGGGGAGCGAACAGG